UUCAUGUUUCAGGAACCAUAUAUAAAUCAACAAUCAUUCCAUCCAGAACAUUUUGUGUAGUUAACGUAGGUCAGACAGAGGCAAAGAUUGAAGCUAUUAUGAAUGACUUUAUACAGCUGACACCACAAUCUAAUGUGUACGAGGCAGAAACAAUGGUGGAAGGCACUCUGGAGGGAUUUUCAUUCGAAUCAGAUGAUGAAAAUAAUAAAAACACCAAGAAU